rnacentral:rRNA from 1 species
UCGAACGAACUCUGGUAUUGAUUGGUGCUUGCAUCAUGAUUUACAUUUGUGUGAGUGGCGAACUGGUGAGUAACACGUGGGAAACCUGCCCAGAAGCGGGGGAUAACACCUGGAAACAGAUGCUAAUACCGCAUAACAACUUGGACCGCAUGGUCCGAGCUUGAAAGAUGGCUUCGGCUAUCACUUUUGGAUGGUCCCGCGGCGUAUUAGCUAGAUGGUGGGGUAACGGCUCACCAUGGCAAUGAUACGUAGCCGACCUGAGAGGGUAAUCGGCCACAUUGGGACUGAGACACGGCCCAAACUCCUACGGGAGGCAGCAGUAGGGAAUCUUCCACAAUGGACGAAAGUCUGAUGGAGCAACGCCGCGUGAGUGAAGAAGGGUUUCGGCUCGUAAAACUCUGUUGUUAAAGAAGAACAUAUCUGAGAGUAACUGUUCAGGUAUUGACGGUAUUUAACCAGAAAGCCACGGCUAACUACGUGCCAGCAGCCGCGGUAAUACGUAGGUGGCAAGCGUUGUCCGGAUUUAUUGGGCGUAAAGCGAGCGCAGGCGGUUUUUUAAGUCUGAUGUGAAAGCCUUCGGCUCAACCGAAGAAGUGCAUCGGAAACUGGGAAACUUGAGUGCAGAAGAGGACAGUGGAACUCCAUGUGUAGCGGUGAAAUGCGUAGAUAUAUGGAAGAACACCAGUGGCGAAGGCGGCUGUCUGGUCUGUAACUGACGCUGAGGCUCGAAAGUAUGGGUAGCAAACAGGAUUAGACACCCUGGUAGUCCAUACCGUAAACGAUGAAU